CAGGAAAUAGUUUAAGUAAAAUUUUAAUUUUGGGGAUUAAUGAUAGGUAUUACCUUUUCCUGA
rnacentral:tRNA from 1 species